UGGGGAAUAUUGCACAAUGGGCGCAAGCCUGAUGCAGCCAUGCCGCGUGUAUGAAGAAGGCCUUCGGGUUGUAAAGUACUUUCAGCGAGGAGGAAGGCGUUGUGGUUAAUAACCGCAGCGAUUGACGUUACUCGCAGAAGAGGCACCGGCUAACUCCGUGCCAGCAGCCGCGGUAAUACGGAGGGUGCAAGCGUUAAUCGGAAUUACUGGGCGUAAAGCGCACGCAGGCGGUCUGUCAAGUCGGAUGUGAAAUCCCCGGGCUCAACCUGGGAACUGCAUCCGAAACUGGCAGGCUAGAGUCUUGUAGAGGGGGGUAGAAUUCCAGGUGUAGCGGUGAAAUGCGUAGAGAUCUGGAGGAAUACCGGUGGCGAAGGCGGCCCCCUGGACAAAGACUGACGCUCAGGUGCGAAAGCGUGGGGAGCAAACA
rnacentral:rRNA from 1 species